GUAGCAAUACCGCUUCAUUCAGUGGCGCACGGGUGCGUAACACGUGAGUUACAUGCCCUGCAGUGGGGAAUAGCCCGCCGAAAGGCGGAUUAAUACCCCAUGGUCCCACAAGGGUAAAGGUGGCGCAAGCUGCCUCUGCAGGAUUGGCUCGCGGCCUAUCAGCUUGUUGGUGAGGUAACGGCUCACCAAGGCGACGACGGGUACCUGGUCUGAGAGGAUGAUCAGGCACACUGGAACUGAGACACGGUCCAGACACCUACGGGUGGCAGCAGUCGAGAAUAAUUCACAAUGGGGGAAACCCUGAUGGUGCAACGCCGCGUGGAGGAUGAAGGUCUUCGGAUUGUAAACUCCUGUCAUCGGGGAGUAAGACCUGGCGGUAAAUAGCCGACAGGGUUGAUAGUACCCGAAGAGGAAGGGACGGCUAACUUCGUGCCAGCAGCCGCGGUAAUACGAAGGUCCCAAGCGUUGUUCGGAAUCACUGGGCGUAAAGGGAGCGUAGGCUGCGCGGUAAGUCAGAUGUGAAAUCCCGGGGCUCAACCCCGGAACUGCAUCCGACACUGCCGUGCUUGAGGGUUGGAGAGGUAGCUGGAAUUAUCGGUGUAGCAGUGAAAUGCGUGGAUAUCGAUAGGAACACUCGUGGCGAAGGCGAGCUACUGGACAACAUCUGACGCUGAGGCUCGAAGGCUAGGGGAGCAAAAGG
rnacentral:rRNA from 1 species